GAUGAACGCUAGCGGCAGGCCUAAUACAUGCAAGUCGAACGGUGUCUUCGGACAUAGUGGCGCACGGGUGCGUAACACGUAUGCAACCUACCUUACAUUGGGGGAUAGCCUUUCGAAAGGGAGAUUAAUACCGCAUAAGACAGUAGCUGGGCAUCCAGCAGCUGUUAAAGAUUUAUCGAUGUAAGAUGGGCAUGCGUCCAAUUAGUUAGUUGGCGAGGUAACGGCUCACCAAGACUUUGAUUGGUAGGGGAACUGAGAGGUCAAUCCCCCACACUGGUACUGAGAUACGGGCCAGACUCCUACGGGAGGCAGCAGUAGGGAAUAUUGGGCAAUGGACGCAAGUCUGACCCAGCCAUGCCGCGUGCAGGAUGAAGGCGUUAUGCGUUGUAAACUGCUUUUAUACAGGGAGAAACGACUCUUGCGAGAGGCAUUGACGGUACUGUAUGAAUAAGCACCGGCUAACUCCGUGCCAGCCGCCGCGGUAACAC
rnacentral:rRNA from 1 species